UACGUAGGGUGCAAGCGUUGUCCGGAAUUAUUGGGCGUAAAGAGCUUGUAGGCGGUUUGUCGCGUCUGCUGUGAAAUUUCGGGGCUCAACCCCGAACUUGCAGUGGGUACGGGCAGACUAGAGUGUGGUAGGGGAGACUGGAAUUCCUGGUGUAGCGGUGAAAUGCGCAGAUAUCAGGAGGAACACCGAUGGCGAAGGCAGGUCUCUGGGCCAUAACUGACGCUGAGAAACGAAAGCAUGGGGAGCGAACAGG
rnacentral:rRNA from 1 species